rnacentral:rRNA from 1 species
GCAGUCGAGGGGUAAGGUUUCGCUUGCGAACACACGACCGGCGCACGGGUGCGUAACGCGUAUGCAACCUACCAUCAACAGGAGGAUAGCUUCCGGAAACGGGAAUUAAUACUCCAUAUUAUUGUUUAUACACCUGUAUAAUCGAUGAAAGCUCCGGCGGUUGAUGAUGGGCAUGCGUGACAUUAGCUAGUUGGUAAGGUAACGGCUUACCAAGGCGACGAUGUCUAGGGGUCCUGAGAGGGUUAUCCCCCACACUGGUACUGAGACACGGACCAGACUCCUACGGGAGGCAGCAGUAAGGAAUAUUGCGCAAUGGAGGCAACUCUGACGCAGCCAUGCCGCGUGCAGGAUGACAGCCCUAUGGGUUGUAAACUGCUUUUAUUUGGGAAGAAACCCCUGGUCGAGCAUCAGGGUUGACGGUACCAAAUGAAUAAGCAUCGGCUAACUCCGUGCCAGCAGCCGCGGUAAUACGGAGGAUGCAAGCGUUAUCCGGAUUCAUUGGGUUUAAAGGGUGCGCAGGCGGACCAAUAAGUCAGUGGUGAAAUCCCGGGGCUCAACUUCGGAACUGCCAUUGAUACUGUUGGUCUUGAGUUCGGUUGAAGUAGGCGGAAUGUAGCAUGUAGCGGUGAAAUGCAUAGAUAUGCUACAGAACACCGAUCGUGAAGACAGCUUACUAAGCCGAUACUGACGCUCAGGCACGAAAGCGUGGGUAGCGAACAGGAUUAGAUACCCUGGUA